UACGAAGGGGGCUAGCGUUGCUCGGAAUCACUGGGCGUAAAGGGUGCGUAGGCGGGUCUUUAAGUCAGGGGUGAAAUCCUGGAGCUCAACUCCAGAACUGCCUUUGAUACUGAAGAUCUUGAGUUCGGGAGAGGUGAGUGGAACUGCGAGUGUAGAGGUGAAAUUCGUAGAUAUUCGCAAGAACACCAGUGGCGAAGGCGGCUCACCUGGCCCGGUACUGACGCUGAGGUGCGAAAGCGUGGGGAGCAAACAGG
rnacentral:rRNA from 1 species